rnacentral:rRNA from 1 species
UAGCCGUAAACGAUACUCGCUGGGUGUCGGCCACGGUGCGACCGUUGUCGGUGCCGUAGGGAAGCCGUGAAGCGAGCCGCCUGGGAAGUACGGCCGCAAGGCUGAAACUUAAAGGAAUUGGCGGGGGGAGCACCACAACGGGUGGAGCUUGCGGUUUAAUUGGAUUCAACGCCGGAAAUCUUACCGGGACCGACAGCAACAUGAAGGCCAGGCUGAAGACUUUGCCGGAUUAGCUGAGAGGAGGUGCAUGGCGUAGUCGUGU